rnacentral:lncRNA from 1 species
GUGGGGAGCAUUUGAUCAGCAUCAUGUCAACUUGAAGAAUUAUAGUGUUUAGUUUGGUGGUCAGCACUGGACAGUAGUUCUUUGGAAAAGAAACUAACAUGCUGGGCAUUUUACAGUAAAUGGCUAGAUUUUAUGCUUUGUAACCAGUUUUAACUAAUGCCAAAUCAUCUCUUAAUUUGAAUGGAAUGGGUUUACAGCGUUUUACGCUGUGUUUAAGCUCUGCUGUUGGAGAGGGUACUCUGCAACCCGAGACAAACGUGUUUAUGUUGAGAUAAAGGCUAGUAUAAAGUAUCUUCUAUAUGCAGCACUACCAUUUUGGUGGGGGUGGAGACUUCUUAAAGUAAUGGCAUUUUAUGUUCUGUAAUAAGGCUUAUUGCUUUACAGAGCUUAGAAAUGGGUCACUGUUACUACUUUUGUCACUGUCUUAAUGCAAACCACUGUCUUAAGCUAAGUGUAUUUAGAGCUCUGUUGGGUCCUGGUUAAGACGUACGUGGAAGAUGAGCGACAACGCUCUGGUCAAAUAUUGACUCUUUUGUAGGAGACUGCUAUUAGUUCUGAAGACUGCUGAGCAGUCUUUUAUUUGCAUUUUUGACAAUUGAUUCUUUUUGUAUUGUAAUCUUUAUUUUAAGGACUGAAAGCUUGUUGAAUAAAAAAAUAGUAAAAAUUGAUACAAAAGCUCACCGAACGUGUUGUAAUCUGUGAAAACCAAAAGGUUUAUCUUUCUACUGAAGUCUUGUGAUCUAAAUAAAAGGAAACUGCAGAAAACAGCCUCUCUCUUUCUUUACACUGAAUUAGAGUGAUCCAUAUGCAUCUCUUAGGCUCUUUUAAUCUGAUAUCCAGUAUUCAUCUAUAAACAUUACAAGCUGCUUCUAGUUAUUAAAAAUAGAACUUGUGUGCAUGGCAAUAUAAAGUUGCUUGGGUUUGCACUCCUCAGUGCGAAUAUCUUAAACCAAUUUUCUUUUCCAGAGUGGAAGAACAAGAGAGACUCAGACGUCAAAAUGAAGAUGACUUGGCUAAAUUACAGCCAAAAGCUGAUGACUUUAGUUUAAGGAAUAAAUACCUCUCCAAACUAGGCGCUCAGCUACCAGAUAAUUACUCUUCCUAUUUAUCGACAAUGGUGCACAGAAGUGUGUUGAAAUAGCAGCUUGCCCCACUUGCAAAAGCAGAAACACAUUGAAGUUCCUGGUCCACAAAACUCUGUUUCCAGUACAGACAACUGCCACAGCAAGAACACAGUGAUGCAUCAUACUUUUCUGCAAGCAUAGAUCCUAUUUUCAAAAUACUUGGCUUAAGCUCCCCAUUCUACACUUUUGGUAAAUCAAUGAAGGAUCAUCUGGCUGUUUAUUUGACCCCGUGAGCUACUACACCCUCUUGUCUAAAAUAGCCAGUGAGUAGCUCCAGCAAAGACUUGAUCUCCUCAACAGUGUCUGAAAUGUGAAAGCUUUGUUUCAGUAAUCAAACUGCUGUGAAAUGAGCCUUGAUGUGGGUGUGGGUUGUUUGCCCUCUCAGGUUGGACAGCUUGGUUACCAGGUUGGAAAUGGUCUGUUCCAUUUUUCUUAUAGAAAAAUCUAAGGAAAGACUACCAUUUUAUUUUUGGUCCUAGCAAAUAUUUCAGAGGAAACCAAACUAUACAAUUUCAGUGUUACAGUUCAAAAAGUGCUAGACCUGGAAGUUAAUACCAGGUCACAGGCUUAGCAAUAAAACCUCAUGUAAGUCCUGAUUAAUGUGAAAA